UCAGAACGAACGCUGGCGGCGUGCUUAACACAUGCAAGUCGAACGCGAACGGUUUCUUCGGAGACCUAGUAGAGUGGCGCACGGGUGAGUAACGCGUAAAUAAUCUACCCUGAUGUCUGGGAUAACCAGCCGAAAGGCUGACUAAUACCGGCUAUAUGCUACCCUGUAGGGGGUAUCAGGAAAGGUGGCCUCUUCUUGAAAGCUAUCGCAUUGGGAUGAGUUUGCGUACCAUUAGCUAGUUGGUGGGGUAAUGGCCCACCAAGGCUACGAUGGUUAGCGGGUCUGAGAGGAUGAUCCGUCACACUGGCACUGGAACACGGGCCAGACUCCUACGGGAGGCAGCAGUGAGGAAUAUUGCGCAAUGGGGGAAACCCUGACGCAGCGACGCCGCGUGAGUGAGGAAGGCCUUCGGGUCGUAAAGCUCUGUCAGUAGGGAAGAAAUGUAUAUACGUUAAUACCGUAUAUAUUUGACGGUACCUACAAAGGAAGCACCGGCUAACUCCGUGCCAGCAGCCGCGGUAGUACGGAGGGUGCAAGCGUUGUUCGGAAUCACUGGGCGUAAAGGGAGCGCAGGCGGUUUGUCAAGUCAGAUGUGAAAGCCCACGGCUCAACCGUGGAAGUGCAUUUGAAACUGGCAGACUUGAGUAUCAGAGGGGAAAGUGGAAUUCCCGGUGUAGAGGUGAAAUUCGUAGAUAUCGGGAGGAAUACCGGUGGCGAAGGCGACUUUCUGGCUGAAUACUGUCGCUGAGGCUCGAAAGCGUGGGGAGCAAACAGGAUUAGAUACCCUGGUAGUCCACGCCGUAAACGAUGUGCACUAGAUGUAGGAGGUAUUGAUCCCUUCUGUGUCGCMKAACGCAUUAAGUGCACCGCCUGGG
rnacentral:rRNA from 1 species